rnacentral:rRNA from 1 species
AUUGAACGCUGGCGGCAUGCUUUACACAUGCAAGUCGGACGAGUGGCGAACGGGUGAGUAACGCAUCGGAACGUACCGAGUAAGGGGGGAUAACUGUCCGAAAGGACAGCUAAUACCGCAUAUUAUUCGAGCGGCCGAUGUCUGAUUAGCUGGGUGGCGGGGUAAAGGCCCACCAAGGCGACGAUCAGUAGCGGGUCUGAGAGGAUGAUGCGCCCCACUGGGGCUGAGACAAGGGCCAGACUCCUACGGGAGGCAGCAGUGUGGAAUUUUGGACAAGUGGCGCAAGCCUGAACCAGCCAUGCCGCGUGUCUGAAGAAGGCUCUCGGGUUGUAAAGUUCUUUCGGUGACGAGGCGUUAAUCACAGAAGAAGCACCGGCUAACUCCGGGCCAGCAGCCGCGGUAAUAC